GUUUGGCUAUGUCCUGUCCUUUAGCUUAGGCCUUUGAGGGGCCUGUCAGAACCCUGGCAUCAUCCUUAGCAUCUGUGAUUUCUGCAUUCCUUGGCCUGGCACCCAGGCCAUAGAACUUUUGACUCGGGAGCUCAGGCAGGCAUCAGACUCUCUUGUGUCUUUGGAAGCAUCCAGGCAGAUGUCUUUUCAGGUCUUGUUCUGAGCUGUACAGACAGCUAUGCCCCACCUGCAUCCAUUAAGGUGGAUUAGGACUUGUAAUAAUAUGAGGUUAGUUAGAGGAUUCUGACCAUAGGAUUCCUAGGCAUCCAUCUUUGCUGUUCUUGGAAUAAAUCAUUCAGUUCGCAUCUUCUUCUUCCAGGAUUCUCUGAGCCUCAUCAGCUUCCCAUUGGUCUCUGCUCGGUCAUCUACUUUUUGCAUUCUCUCAGUCCUUACAGCCAUUUUACUUGCCAAGAGCUUUCUGUCUGUGUCUUGUGCCCAUUGUUUGUCACGUUCUGUCUGUCCUGUGUCACGGGUGUCUGCACACAUUUGUGCCGGAGCUGCUCUGCCCUGCCGCAUAGCUUGGUGUAAUAGGACAAACCCUGUGGAGUUUAAAUUUGUAAUGUUGCGUGUAGUUGGACUCUAGAUGCUAUUCCUAGAUUGACAUAAGGUGUUUGCAGCUUGUGAGUUAUCCUGGUGGUGUUUGACAUAUGUUCUGACUUUCUUUCAGGUGCAGAUGCAUUGCAUCAGUGGCAGAGCAGCUCAUCCAGGGUGAGUGGGUUCCCACAAGCAGGUAAGUAACCAUUUGUCUGUGCAGGGUGUGUGUCAAGUGUGACCCUGUUACAGCACUGUUCUUUGUCUUUAUUUUUAGGAAGCAUAGCUGGAUCUCAGCAGUCAAGUUCAAGAAGGCAAGGCCAUCUACUCCGAGCUCGUCAAGCUCACAUCCCCCACCGGCCGAUGGACCGGGUUUGCCGCCCUCGCGGGCCCCAUCUUCCGGGUAGCCGUCGGGAACCGGCGAGGAGUUGCGGUGAGUCGGGGAAGUUGGGAGGAGGAGCGAGGGUCCACUCAGUUUUCAGCAACACCACAUCACCUCCUCUCCACUCAGGCAUACCCCAUGACGACGGCAUCGGUCUCUGACCACGGCCGAAGCGUGCGACUCGAGGAGCCGGGCCAUCUUAGGAGAAUGGUGAGUAGCAGACUUCUGGUGUUAUGGCCGAUAUGGUGCCAAGAUCAGGCAUUGAUGUUUGGUUUUCUUUAAUACAGCUGUCUGAGAGACAACAGCCCGGUGCCAGCAGGAACUCGCCAGCUGGCGAGGCAGCCUUCCUUUGCACCUGAUACGGACCAGCAUCCCCAGAUGUCUGAGAGAUAAGUAGAGGGCUAUGACCCACAGAGGGGAUGAAAGUGGGGUGCUGCGUCAGGACUCCCUGGGUGGGGGGUUUGAAUUGGCUCUGGAGAUGAGGCUAUCCAAGAUGUGGCCCCUUAGGCCCCGUAAAAGCAAAGUCUCACUUUUCAUCACAGCGCU
rnacentral:lncRNA from 1 species